rnacentral:rRNA from 1 species
AGUGAACGCUGGCGGUAGGCCUAACACAUGCAAGUCGAACGGCAGCACAGUAAGAGCUUGCUCUUACGGGUGGCGAGUGGCGGACGGGUGAGGAAUACAUCGGAAUCUACUUUUUCGUGGGGGAUAACGUAGGGAAACUUACGCGAAUACCGCAUACGACCUACGGGUGAAAGCAGGGGAUCUUCGGACCUUGCGCGAUUGAAUGAGCCGAUGUCGGAUUAGCUAGUUGGCGGGGUAAAGGCCCACCAAGGCGACGAUCCGUAGCUGGUCUGAGAGGAUGAUCAGCCACACUGGAACUGAGACACGGUCCAGACUCCUACGGGAGGCAGCAGUGGGGAAUAUUGGACACUGGGCGCAAGACUGAUCCAGCCAUACCGCGUGGGUGAAGAAGGCCUUCGGGUUGUAAAGCCCUUUUGUUGGGAAAGAAAAGCAGCAGGUUAAUACCCCGCUGUUCUGACGGUACCCAAAGAAUAAGCACCGGCUAACUUCGUG